AUUUUAUUUUAAUAUAGAAAACAAUUUGAAAAAAACAAAAACAUCGCAUCCCAGACAGUUGUAUAGUCGACAACAAAUUCCAUUAAACACACCACGCUAGCGGAAGUGGGACUCUCUUGUAUUCUGUUCUGUAUUACUGUACCAAUUGCGGUGGUAGUAUUUUUGUUCAAUUUGGACAGAACUAAUAGAGGUGUCUUGUGUUCAAUUUAAUUUAUAAUUUUAAUAUAAAUCUUCGGAAAACAAUAUAAACUUUAUAUUUACACCUCGAGCACACAAACGUGAACGUAACACGAACGUACAAAACCUGAGCCCGCGAUAAACAACGCGGUUAUUAAUAAGAACACAGCUAACCCAAUAUAAUGUUAUCAAUUAAAACGUUAAAACGUUUCUAAACUGUUGAGUGCUAUUUACAACAGCUUGUGUAGGUUUAAUUGAAUUCAGGCUUCCUUGUGUAGCCUAUAGUAUUAAUAUUGGAUUAAUAUACGUAGAGUGGCCGGUCCUUACUGGAAGUUUAGGCAGAUCUGAUAGAGUUUUGAACGGUCUGCGCCAGUGUUGGUACUGCCAAUAAUAAGAAAGUUUCGGAUUGAUGGCGAUCGAUGCAACGAUUAUCAUUUAUAGACCUGGAGCGAGGGUGAUUCGGCG